CAACAUGACAGGGCCAAGGUCAGGGUACACUAUCUAGACAACAACACGACAGGGCCAAGGUCAGGGUACACUAUCUAGACAACAACAUGACAGGACCAAGGUCAGGGUACACUAUCUAGACAACAACACGACAGGGCCAAGGUCAGGGUACACUAUCUAGACAACAACAUGACAGGGCCAAGGUCAGGGUACACUAUCUAGACAACAACAGGGCCAAGGUCAGGGUACACUAUCUAGACAACAACAGGGCCAAGGUCAGGGUACACUAUCUAGACAACAACACGACAGGGCCAAGGUCAGGGUACACUAUCUAGACAACAACAUGACAGGACCACGGUCAGGGUACACUAUCUAGACAACAACACGACAGGGCCAAGGUCAGGGUACACUAUCUAGACAACAACAUGACAGGACCAAGGUCAGGGUACACUAUCUAGACAACAACACGACAGGACCAAGGUCAGGGUACACUAUCUAGACAACAACAGGGCCAAGGUCAGGGUACACUAUCUAGACAACAACACGACAGGACCAAGGUCAGGGUACACUAUCUAGACAACAACAGGGCCAAGGUCAGGGUACACUAUCUAGACAACAACAUGACAGGACCAAGGUCAGGGUACACUAUCUAGACAACAACAUGAACAAGGUCAGGGUACACUAUCUAGACAACAACAGGGCCAAGGUCAGGGUACACUAUCUAGACAACAACAGGGCCAAGGUCAGGGUACACUAUCUAGACAACAACAGGGCCAAGGUCAGGGUACACUAUCUAGACAACAACAGGGCCAAGGUCAGGGUACACUAUCUAGACAACAACAGGGCCAAGGUCAGGGUACACUAUCUAGACAACAACAUGACAGGGCCAAGGUCAGGGUACACUAUCUAGACAACAACAGGGCCAAGGUCAGGGUACACUAUCUAGACAACAACAGGACCAAGGUCAGGGUACACUAUCUAGACAACAACAUGAACAAGGUCAGGGUACACUAUCUAGACAACAACAUGAACAAGGUCAGGGUACACUAUCUAGACAACAACAGGGCCAAGGUCAGGGUACACUAUCUAGACAACAACAUGACAGGGCCAAGGUCAGGGUACACUAUCUAGACAACAACACGACAGGACCAAGGUCAGGGUACACUAUCUAGACAACAACAUGACAGGGCCAAGGUCAGGGUACACUAUCUAGACAACAACACGACAGGGCCAAGGUCAGGGUACACUAUCUAGACAACAACAGGGCCAAGGUCAGGGUACACUAUCUAGACAACAACAUGACAGGGCCAAGGUCAGGGUACACUAUCUAGACAACAACAGGGCCAAGGUCAGGGUACACUAUCUA